UUUCAAAUUGAAAUUCUUUAGGAGAGACAAAGUCCUCUUUUUCUAUCUUUUCCAUAGAAUCUGAAAGUUAGAUGUCACUAAUGUUGAAAUCUUCUUCUUUUUUCUUCUUUUCUGCUCAUAGUAAUAAAAAAAAAAAAGAACUAAUUUGUAGUCUUCUAUUGGAAUAAAUGAAAAUGGGAAAGCAAAUUGCCUAAUUAGUCUAGUAAUGAUUCAUAGACUCUUUGAAAGUAAUGUAGCCAUGUAAAUGUUGGAUUUACCUUUAGUUAUAUUGUUUAUUUGGCCAUAGAGGAUGUUUGUUUUCAAUGUCGUUGCCCUGUGGUAUUUAUAAGGCCUUCCUUUGUGUUCAGCAAGGAAAAGAUCUGAAGUUAUUCUGACCUCUGGUUUUUAGUUAGUUUUAUUUUGUUUUGUUUUUGAAAACUUUGGGGUUGUCAGGUAUUUAUUUUUCAUAAGUCAUGAUUUAAGAGUCAUUGUAGGAGACAGACAAACCAAGCAUUUCUGCCUUGAAGAUGUUGUAAGCAUCUUAUACAGAAUACUUAAGACUUCUCUCCUCUCCCUGCUACCAUGAAUAAUACAUACCAAUGACUUAAAUAAGUCUCUUACGUUUGGGAAUUGCUAUCACAGAAUAAGAAAAGCAGACUAGAGAUAUGCCAGGUGUGGUAGUGCAUGCUUUUAAUCCCAACAUUUAGAUAAAGUCAGGCAGAUCUCUGUGAGUUAGAGGGCAGCCUGAUUUACUUAUUAAGUUCCAUCCCAUCCAGGGCUAUGCAAUGAGAUUCUGCCUUUAAAAUAAGAGUAUGUAUCACCAACACUGCUACUUUUACUAUCAGAUUCCACAUGAUAUGUCACAUAGUUGAUGAUACAUUUCUUUUUUUUUUUUUAAAGAUUUAUUUAUUUAUUAUAUGUAAGUACACUGUAGCUGUCUUCAGACACACCAGAAGAGGGCGUUAGAUCUCAUUACGGAUGGUUGUGAGCCACCAUGUUGUUGCUGGGAUUUGAACUCAGGACCUUUGGAAGAGCAGUCAGUGCUCUUACCUGCUGAGCCAUCUCACCAGCCCAAUAUAUUUCUUACAUAUACUCUGUUCAUUGUGUCAAAGAAAUAGCUGUGCUAGACCAAAUUCUGAAUUUAAAAACAAAAUUCUGGGAACCUUGUGUAGUUACAAACAUAAUACAGAUAAUUACAUUAUUAUUAAUACAGCAUCAGUACUUAACUGUUGUUGGAUUUUUGGCCAAAAACAUGCAAAUUUAUUUUAUAGGAAAUAAAGAAGAUAAGGUAAUACAGUUGGGGAAUAAAUUAAUUACUUUUUUAGAGAAUUAAUAAAGCUUGUGAUAAUUGAGUGGAAAUGUAGGUAAAAUAAUAAUUAUAGAAAUGACAGUACUAGUUCUAUGUCAGUUUCCCAUUUGAGAGCCACUAUUCCCAGUAGCAACUAAAAAGUAAUCGUAAACUAAAAGAUAACUUGAAUGAACUGAUGAGCUCUCUCUCUCUCUCUCUCUCUCUCUUUUUUAAUGUGAGAAGUGAAAAUAACGUCAACUAUUCCUAAAGUAAAAUACAGGUUUGAUGAACAUAAUGGUAAUUCAGUUCUGAUAUUUUGAGGAGUAGGUAAACACAUACACACAUACUGUAUGUACAUACUUUUAAACGUAUAUAGAAAAGUUCAGUGGAAAACAGUUUGGUUAAACAUUGUAUAGCUUCAUCAGAAUAGUGUGGUACAAGAUUAAUCAGGAUGAUCAUAAUAUAAAAUAUAUAACCCAUGAUAGACAUUUUCCCACAAUUUGGUGUAUUCCUGGGAAGAAGAAAAAAAUUUCUCCCUAGAAAAUUUCUCCCUAGGGGACUUUUGGGAUAGCAUUUGAAAUGUAAAUGAAAAAAUAUCUUAAUAAAAGAAUUAAAAAAAAAUCUAUUUAGUGAAAGAAAAUUUCCCAGUCCCAAAUGGAUCUAACCCAGCACUAGCAAAUUAUCAGUGGCUGGUCAAAUCUCAUCCACCUUAUGUUUAAGCCUGUUGUUCAACCAUUACUCUUACAAAUAAAGUUUUAUUAGAACUUGGUCAUGUUCAUUUAUUUACAUGUUGUCUGUGAGUGCUUUUGCUCUACCAGGGCAGAGUUGGGCAGUUGUGAGAGAGAUCAGACCAUAUGGCUUCCAAAGUCAAAAAUAUUUACUAUCUGGCCCUUUGCAGAUAAAGUUUGCUGAUCCCUGGAUUAAAGGACUGUAUUAUAAACAGUGAAACCACUUCCUUAUUAUUUUUUUUAUGGAAGUAAAACUUUGUAAGAGAUAGAAGAAAUCACAAAGGUAAAGAUUGUCAGAAUUUUGGCAUAAGUGGAAACCUUAGUACAUAAAAAUUCUAACUCUAAAGAAAUGUUAAUAAAUGCUACUGAGGUUAAUAUUGUCAUCAUAUUGCACUUGUAUGUGAACAUUAAAAAUAUGUGCAUGUUAAAGCAACUAGGAAAACACUUUUAAUUGAGAAUAGUUUUGUUUGAGAACUGGGCAUGGUACCAUACAUCAUUAUUGCCAGCACUCGGGGGGAAAAGGCAGGUGGAUUUCUGAGUUUGAGGCCAGCCUGGUCUACAGAGUGAGUUCCAGGACAGCCAGGGCUACACACAGAAACCAUGUCUCGAAAAACCAAAAGAAACCAAAACAUAAAUUACAGCUUUAUUUCGACAAAACCAAUUUCAUCAUGUCUCAAAAACCUUUAUAAUGGAUCUCGUAACCUAGUGAUCCUACUUUAAGAAUUAAAGAUAUUCAUGGUGGCAUUUCACUGAGAAAACUGAAUAUGUGCAAAUAACUGUUACAGCAGUGCCACACAUGAAUGUGUUAGUGACUGAGGCAAAAGGUAGAAAAAAAAAAUCAAUAAUGCCUAUCUUGCUUUUAUUUGAAGCUGUGUUGUGUUAGCCAUCGAGUUUUACAUACAUUUUCUUUUUAAAGUACUCAAAUUAGUCAUUUUAGUAGUACUCACCUGUGAUCCCAGUACUUUGGAGGCAGCAGGAUUCUGGAGUUUGGGCUUUGUCUGGUCUCUUUGUCAAGUACUAGGCCAUUUAUGGUUGUACAUUGAAACUCUGUCUC
rnacentral:lncRNA from 1 species